ACGACCUUACUUGAACAUGAUGUGUUCUAUUCUAUAGGAUCGUACCUCUGUAUCCUUGAUUUCUAAGGAGACAGAAACCUAAGUCUGGUCCAUGAAUCAUGACCGUGCGUUCAGAGCGUGAUUAACGGCUACUGAUUUAUGUUGUAGAUUAUGUGGGCUGUAGAUGAUCUUUCUCAGCUCGUCAUCUGACGGAUGGCUGAGAUGUUUGUGCUGUUGCCUUAUAGACU
rnacentral:snoRNA from 1 species